rnacentral:rRNA from 1 species
GACGGAGGAUGCAAGUGUUAUCCGGAAUCACUGGGCGUAAAGCGUCUGUAGGUGGUUUGAUAAGUCAACUGUUAAAUCUUGAGGCUCAACUUCAAAAUCGCAGUCGAAACUAUUAGACUAGAGUAUAGUAGAGGUAAAGGGAAUUUCCAGUGGAGCGGUGAAAUGCGUAGAUAUUGGAAAGAACACCGAUGGCGAAAGCACUUUACUGGGCUAUUACUAACACUCAGAGACGAAAGCUAGGGUAGCAAAUGGGAUUAGAUACCCCAGUAGUCCUAGCCGUAAACUAUGGAUACUAGAUGUUGAACAGAUCGACCUGUGCAGUAUCAAAGCUAACGCGUUAAGUAUCCCGC